GUAGGGUCCAAGCGUUAAUCGGAAUUACUGGGCGUAAAGCGUGCGCAGGCGGUUGUGCAAGACCGAUGUGAAAUCCCCGGGCUUAACCUGGGAAUUGCAUUGGUGACUGCACGGCUAGAGUGUGUCAGAGGGGGGUAGAAUUCCACGUGUAGCAGUGAAAUGCGUAGAGAUGUGGAGGAAUACCGAUGGCGAAGGCAGCCCCCUGGGAUAACACUGACGCUCAUGCACGAAAGCGUGGGGGGGAGCAAACAGGAUUAGAUACCCUGGUAGUCCACGCCCUAAACGAUGUCAACUAGUUGUUGGGGAUUCAUUUCCUUAGUAACGUAGCUAACGCGUGAAGUUGACCGCCUGGGGAUACGGUCGCAAGAUUA
rnacentral:rRNA from 1 species